rnacentral:rRNA from 1 species
GACGAACGCUUGCGGCGUGCCUAAGAAAUGCAAGUCGAGCGAGGUUUAGGCUUCGGCCGACGACCUAGCGGCGAACGGUCGCGUAACACGUAAGCAACCUGCCCUAAAGUUGGGGAUAGCCCGCCGAAAGGCGGAUUAAUACCGAAUGUGGAUAUGUAUUCGCAUGUAUAUAUAUCUGAAGCAGCGAUGCGCUUUAGGAUGGGCUUGCGGCCUAUCAGUUAGUUGGUGUGGGUAACGGCCUACCAAGACGACGACGGGUAGCUGGUCUGAGAGGAUGGUCAGCCGGAUUGGGACUGAGACACGGCCCAGACUCCGUACGGGGGGCAGCAAUUAGGAAUCUUGCGCAAUGGGACGAAAAGCCUGACGCAGCGACGCCGCGUGACUGAUGAAGUCUUUCGAGAUGUAAAGGUCUUUUGUUGGGGACGAAGGAAGUGACGGUACCCGACGAAUAACGCCCCGGACUAACUACGUGCAGCAGCCGACGGUAAAAGUGUGUGUA